rnacentral:lncRNA from 1 species
AGCUAAUGAACUCUGGGGCAUUUGCUUUCUUAUUCUCUCUCUCCGGGUGAUGAGUGGAAAAUGUGCCGCAUAACAUCUUUGCCCUUGGGGAGUGAGUUACCGUUAAAGUCAGAGUUUUGAAAGGCAACAUUCGUGAGAGGAGCAUCUGGAGUUCUUGGCUUUCUUGCAUCCAGGAGGUGAAAAAGAGAAUUAGAGAUUGCAGGGUGAAGAGAAGGCAGCCACAGAAUGUCCUGCACCUCUAUUUUGAUGUGACAAGGAGAAAUGAGUUUCCCAUAAGUAUGGCUGAAUUGUUUUUCUGCUACCCAUCCUGAAGGAUGUCAGCCAGGACACAAGACAAUACCUUGAAGAUGUCAGUUUAUCCAGCAAAUCCCAAUUUUGAAAGCAAAAACUGAGAUGCAUGGAGUGCCUACAAUGUGCCAGGACUAUGCUAGCCUUGGAUACACUCCGGUUUAUGGAAUUGUCACAAUGGUAUAAGAAAAGGAUUGUGAUAAGAAGGUGAAAAAUUAAAAUAAAAAGAUGUCCCAUCCUAAUCUCUAGGAUCUGUGAAUGUUACCUACCAUGGCAAAAGGGGCUUUGCCAAUGUGAUUAAGUGAAGGAUCUUGAAAUGGGAGAUUAUCGUGGAUUAUCCAAGUGGGCCCUAAGUGGAAUCAAAAUGUCCUUGUAAGAGGGAUGGAGAGGGAGAAUUCACCACCGAAGAGGAAAAGAUGAUGUGGCAAUGGAAGUAGAGAUUGGAGUGAUGUGGCCACAAGCCAAGGAAUGCCAGCAGCCACCAGAAGCUGGAAGGGGCAAGGAAUGGAUUGUCCUCUAGAGCUCCAGAAGGAACCACUCCUACUAACACCUUGAUUUUAGCCUUGUAAAACUCAUUUUGAACUUCUGAACUCAAGAAUUGUAAGAGAAUAAAUUUGUGUCAUUUAAAC